GGAGAUAGCUGGUUCUCUCCGAAAUAGCUUUAGGGCUAGCCUCGAGGUAAAGAGUCAUGGAGGUAGAGCACUGUUUGGACUAGGGGCCCUUCUCGGGUUACCGAAUUCAGAUAAACUCCGAAUGCCAUGUACUUAUACUCGGGAGUCAGACUGCGAGUGAUAAGAUCCGUAGUCGAAAGGGAAACAGCCCAGACCACCAGUUAAGGUCCCCAAAUAUAUGUUAAGUGGAAAAGGAUGUGGGGUUGCUUAGACAACCAGGAUGUUGGCUUAGAAGCAGCCACCAUUGAAAGAGUGCGUAAUAGCUCACUGGUCGAGUGACCCCGCGCCGAAAAUGUACCGGGGCUAAACAUAUUACCGAAACUGUGGAUGAACCUCUUUAGAGGUUCGUGGUAGGAGAGCGUUCUAAGGGCGGUGAAGUCAGACCGGAAGGACUGGUGGAGCGCUUAGAAGUGAGAAUGCCGGUAUGAGUAGCGAAAGAAGGGUGAGAAUCCCUUCCACCGAAUAUCUAAGGUUUCCUGAGGAAGGCUCGUCCGCUCAGGGUUAGUCGGGACCUAAGCCGAGGCCGAUAGGCGUAGGCGAUGGACAACAGGUAGAGAUUCCUGUACCAGUGCUAAUUGUUUAACCGAUGGGGUGACACAGAAGGAUAGGGAAUCGCACGAAUGGAAAUGUGCGUCCAAGCAGUGAGUGUGAGAAGUAGGCAAAUCCGCUUCUCGCGAAGCAUGAGCUGUGAUGGGGAAGGAAAUUAAGUACGGAAGUUCCUGAUUUCACGCUGUCAAGAAAAGCCUCUAGGAAGAGUAGUACUGCCCGUACCGCAAACCGACACAGGUAGAUGAGGAGAGAAUCCUAAGGUGAGCGAGAGAACUCUCGUUAAGGAACUCGGCAAAAUGACCCCGUAACUUCGGGAGAAGGGGUGCUCUAUUAGGGUGCAAGCCCGAGAGAGCCGCAGUGAAUAGGCCCAGGCGACUGUUUAGCAAAAACACAGGUCUCUGCAAAACCGUAAGGUGACGUAUAGGGGCUGACGCCUGCCCGGUGCUGGAAGGUUAAGAGGAGUGCUUAGCUUCGGCGAAGGUACGAAUUGAAGCCCCAGUAAACGGCGGCCGUAACUAUAACGGUCCUAAGGUAGCGAAAUUCCUUGUCGGGUAAGUUCCGACCCGCACGAAAGGCGCAACGAUCUGGGCACUGUCUCAACGAGAGACUCGGUGAAAUUAUAGUACCUGUGAAGAUGCAGGUUACCCGCGACAGGACGGAAAGACCCCGUGGAGCUUUACUGCAACCUGAUAUGGAAUGUUUGUACCGCUUGUACAGGAUAGGUAGGAGCCGAAGAGACGUGUGCGCUAGCAUACGAGGAGGCAAUGGUGGGAUACUACCCUGGCUGUAUGACCAUUCUAACCCGCCACGCUUAGCGCGUGGGGAGACAGUGUCAGGUGGGCAGUUUGACUGGGGCGGUCGCCUCCUAAAGAGUAACGGAGGCGCCCAAAGGUUCCCUCAGAAUGGAUGGAAAUCAUUCGCAGAGUGUAAAGGCACAAGGGAGCUUGACUGCGAGACUGACAAGUCGAGCAGGGACGAAAGUCGGGCUUAGUGAUCCGGUGGUUCCGCAUGGAAGGGCCAUCGCUCAACGGAUAAAAGCUACCCCGGGGAUAACAGGCUUAUCUCCCCCAAGAGUCCACAUCGACGGGGAGGUUUGGCACCUCGAUGUCGGCUCGUCGCAUCCUGGGGCUGUAGUCGGUCCCAAGGGUUGGGCUGUUCGCCCAUUAAAGCGGCACGCGAGCUGGGUUCAGAACGUCGUGAGACAGUUCGGUCCCUAUCCGUCGCGGGCGCAGGAAAUUUGAGAGGAGCUGUCCUUAGUACGAGAGGACCGGGAUGGACACACCGCUGGUGUACCAGUUGUUCCGCCAGGAGCAUCGCUGGGUAGCUAUGUGUGGCAGGGAUAAACGCUGAAAGCAUCUAAGCGUGAAGCCCCCCUCAAGAUGAGAUUUCCCAUUUCUUCGGAAAGUAAGAUCCCUGAAAGAUGAUCAGGUAGAUAGGUUUGGAGUGGAAGUGUAGCGAUACAUGGAGCGGACAAAUACUAAUCGAUCGAGGACUUAACCAAAA
rnacentral:rRNA from 1 species